UACGGAGGGUGCAAGCGUUGUUCGGAAUCACUGGGCGUAAAGGGCGUGUAGGCGGUCCGCUAAGUCUGAUGUGAAAGCCCGAGGCUUACCCUCGGAAGUGCAUUGGAGACUGGCGGACUGGAGUCCCGGAGAGGAGGGUGGAAUUCCUGGUGUAGCGGUGAAAUGCGUAGAUAUCAGGAGGAACACCGGUGGCGAAGGCGAGUCCCUGGACAAUACCUGACACUGAGGCACGAAAGCCAAGGGAGCAAACAGG
rnacentral:rRNA from 1 species